AUGGCGACGAUGGACAAGUCCGGCACCUCGGUGUUCGAGCCGGGGAAGCAUGCAGUUGAGGACAUCGAGGUGGACGCCAACGACGCGGCACCGGCACCGCCGGUUCCGGUGCUGAUCGUGGCGCCCAAGGACGCGGGGACGUACCCGGUCGUCAUGCUCCUGCACGGCUUCCUCCUCCGCAACCACUACUACCAGCACCUCCUCCGGCACGUCGCGUCCCACGGCUACAUCACGGUCGCACCACAGUUCAGCGUCAGCAACAGCCUGCUGCCGCCGUUGGGCGACGGCGAGGACAUCGCGGCGGCGGCCAGGGUCGCGGACUGGCUCCCGGGCGGCCUCCCCUCCGUGCUCCCCGACGGCGUCGAUCCGGAGCUCCCGAGGCUUGCUCUUGCCGGCCACAGCCGGGGCGGCCACACGGCCUUCGCGCUGGCGCUAGGGUACGGCGACACCCGCCUGGAGGUCAGCUUCUCGGCUCUGAUCGGCCUCGACCCCGUCGCCGGCGCCGGGAGGAACGCCCAGCUCCCGCCCGAGAUCCUCACCUACGAGCCGUCCUCCUUCGACACGUUGACGGCGGGGAUGCCCGUGCUGGUCGUCGGCACCGGGCUCGGCGAGGAGGGGAAGGGCGGGCUCCUCCCGGCCUGCGCGCCCGCGGAGGUGGGCCGCGCCGAGUUCUACCGCAAGUGCCGGCCGCCGUGCUACCACGUCGUGGCCAGGGACUACGGGCACCUGGACCUGCUGGACGACGACGCACCCGCGCUCAUCACCGGGCUCGUCUGCGAGAGCGGCGACGGGCCCAGGGACGCCAUGAGGCGGUGCGUCGCCGGGAUCAUGGUGGCGUUCCUGAACGCCGCGUUGGGGGCCGAAGAUGGGGAUCUCCAGGCCAUAGUGAGAGACCCGGCCGUCUCGCCGGCGGUGCUUGAUCCGGUGGACCACCGCCUGCAGUGA
rnacentral:rRNA from 1 species